CAGAACUUCUCAAAUGGAACUGUUUUGGUUUCACCUGGUUUAAUUUCGUAAUAAAUCUUCCUAAUGGAACCUUUUUCUAUCUGAUUAUUAAUCGAUUUAUCGAAAAAAUAAACAGGUUAAUCAAUUUGAUAAUCAUUAGUUGCAGUACAAGGUUCUUUAUCCUAAUCUUCAAGAAAGAACAUUUCUUAGAGUCUGUGUACUCCAGUUAAAGGUUAUCCAAUCACUAAAUUGGUUGAUUAUUUCAAAAAAAUUGACAAGACCUCAUUCAUCCCUCUAGAUUAAAGGUAAGAGUCAAAUAUGUUAUGUUGCCCAACACUCAGGGGAACUCUGGGUCACAUGACUUUCAGUGAUAGAGCCGACCCUCUCAGGUUACAAAGCUGAGGUUUGACAAGGGCAGCCCACAUGGAGCGUUGAUACAUGCCAAGUACCACAUAAUACCCCGGAAAAUAAGUUAAAAGUUCUAGCACUGCUAUAAAUCCUUAGCAGAAAGACAUUCCCAGAAAUUGAAAAAAAUGCAAAUAAAUAUUAACAAAACAGUAUAUACAUGUGCUGUCUUUAUACAUCAGUGCGAUGAUUUGUUUCUAAUGACGUCACCUUAGAAACAUGAUUUUGGCAAUAGCUAAAAGCUGUUACUCAGGUCCUGGAAAAAGACCACAAACAUUUAAGGCUCCUAUGCCAAGAUUAGGUCAAAAUACCACUGAUUAGAAGACACUACCUAACUUUCUCUUAUGGUCAUGUUCACCAUGCAUCUUUUAUGCCUCUCUACAGGUACCAUGCCGUAAGUGAGGCCCAGUGGUUUCAAGUGUGCAGACAGAGGAGUAAUGGAGCGUGCAUACAGGGAUAAUGAUGGCAAUGGGUGGGCCCAAGCUAAGGUGGAAGCACUGAGAGGAUGCAUUAGCCCAGCGUGAUUGAUCCCUUUCCCCCUCACCUCUCUGAUAAUCCUUCAGGAUAACAACAGAUGGCUCAACGCCAGUAAUACCACAAACUUGUAAGCUCACCACUCACCUUGAACUUUCCUUUGCUGACUUGUGGAGUCUGACUACCGGAAAGAGCCGCAAUGCUAACAAUGUAAUGUUAUUUGAUGGGCUACAUGUUUUCCACAUAUUCUUUGCUCAGACUGCAACCAUCAGUGAUCGUGAAGUCAAAGCACAUGAUUGCAUUAGUGAAAACAACGGGUUCAUUUUAAACAUUUUCUACAUUUCUUUAAAUAAAUACCCAAUUUGCAUCAACAAUGCAUACCUUGUAGACUGAAAGUGGAGGAAGAACAAUUUAGAGUACAAAGAUGGGAGGUAAUUAUUAUGGAACAACGCCCAAACCAUGCAGGAAUAGACUAUAGUUAGAAUAACCCAGCUUUAACCCCCAUGGGAUACAGCAUUAAACUUCCUCCUCCAGUUUUACUCUCCUCUGUAUAUCCACCCUGUUGUUCUUCUCCUCGUCGGUUUUUAUGUUCAGUCUCCAGAGCUUAAAAGCGGUGGGAGAGAAAUGAUAAAAAACAGAUGGACUGAGAUAGCAGCACGACAUGAUUUGAAAGCUGGAAGACGGAAACAAUGUGUCUACACUGUAAAAAUCCUUUUUUUUUUUAUGUGAGACAAUGACAAACACAUGCAUGUCUCUUCAGGUUCUCCAAGUUUAACAAAUCCCAGACAGGAAGUGAGGUGUGUGGGUUUUUUUUUUCCUAUCCCACAAGCACACAUGAUUUGUAUAUUUCCCCACAGUCCAACUCUCCUUUAUGAUAUCAUGUACAAAAUGGGAUGAUGUGUAAAGAAGCUUAUUUAAAUUUUGUCCACCUUUCUGGCCCAGUGCCAGAGUUUAUCUGCAAUGAAAUUGUAUGCGGAUAAAAUCAGCAGUUGAAAAAAGUAAUCUUCAAAAAUCUAAAGUAAGCAACCAACACUAAACAUUUCUAACCAAUCCAAGCUGUCUCCCAGCAUGUGUAAGGCCACCAGGCUUUAAAGAGAAACUCUACUUCUCUAAGACUUGGACCACACCCUUUAUUCACCACUCAGCCAUGCAGUUCAGGCUGCCUUUUUUUAAAGCACACAAAAACUGGCUCACUGUAGCUCUUAAGCAGGGAGCCAGUAAACAAACAAAACAUUACAAAUAAUACUACAGCAAAGCCACAGCAAAUCCUGUCCAUCUCCAAUAACCAGUAAAACUGAUAAAGCCAGGUUUCUCAAAAAAUAUCCACACUCGUGUGAGUCAUUCCACAGAGGAAUGCACCUUAGAAACCCUGAACCUCCUGUUUAACAAACACAUUCCCUGUCUAACAGAAUGCAUUGUCUAUGCCACAGGGAUGGUUAAAUCAUAAAAUCAGGAAGAAUUAGCUGCACAUGGAAAAUACACAAUUCCUCAUACAUCACAGGCUGACAUAAAAUUCAUAAAAAAUAAAAAAGGGGCUAUAAAGAUAUAGACGUCAAUAAUUAUUUAAUGACACCUCAGCUGUCAUCAUCUUCUGAAAACAACAACUGUUCCUUAAAAGGCAUUAGCUAACUCCUGCUGGCAUGUUUAUGACUUAAAGCUGGGAAUGAAUGUGUUGAUAACCAUCAUCACCAAUAAUCUUCCACUCCUCGGUUAUGUAAGAGAUAGAACCAACUGAAACAAUGCACGGGACACUUUUGCUCGUAACUGGGCUACAUUUAUCGGAUGCAGAACGCCGUGGAUGAGAUGUAGAAGCUAACAGGCUAACCUUUAGAGAUGACUCGAGUCGCUAGCCGGAGAGCUAAAACCUAACCGCGGUAAAACUCUACAGCCGGUUCCAACAGUGAAUUCGUGCAGUAAAUGACUCAAAGCUGAAAAAAGUGCUUUCCUCACCCGAGUUAAAAGACACGUUGUUGGGUAAAAACUCCGAGAAGCACCAGACUUCCAAGUGACUGCGGCGACCCGUCUCCUGCCUGUGUGUGUCUGUGUGGUUUCGGUCCAGCCAAGGGCGGUAACACCGGAAGAGGGAAGACAAGGGCUCUGUGAUUGACGUCGAAAGGAACCAAUCAAAACAGAGAGUGUCGGGUAUAAACCAAUGGCAGAAUCGGUCCCGCCUUCUCACAAAUGCUUUCAUUGUAAUUAAUUUAUAUGCUUCUGUUUUACAAUAUCAGAAAUAUGGAUAUAAAAAUAUAUAAUGCAUUUUAGAUGUAUACAUAAUUUUCUCGUUGCGAGCACGAGGAGACCUGGAAGAUUUAAGGCCAAACUAGAAAACCAGACAACCAUCUCUUUUUAGAUUCUGGUCCAAUCCAACAGAAGGUGGACCUGGCACAACUACAGAAAAUGACCACAGCGUUGACCAGUAUGAACGUUCAGAUAUUGGAGAAACACAGAUAAAAGAUGAACAACAAGGACCGUGUUUCAAUGUAAAGACAACUGAAGAGCCGGCGCUCAACCAAGCGGAUUUGCCCCAAACAUCUUACGACGUAGAUAUUUUAAAGGCCAAGGACCGGAUUAGUGAAAUGGACGACUCUGGAAAAUUCCAACUUCUUCAGACCAGAAAACCACCCAAAUCUUUCAAUUUCCGUGCCAGAGAAUUUAAAGACAACCAGUGGGGUGACCAAAAGGACAUGCCAGAGGGACUGGCUGGACAAGUAUGACUUUUUAUCAUUUAUACAUCAUAUAAAGAUGAUCUACCAUCAGGAUCAACAGUCAGGCAGGAAGUGAAGUUGUGGCACACAAAGUGGUCAUCAUCAGUGGAAAAACCCAGCUCUCUCUCCCUGAAAUUCUAAACAUAACAAAUAUGAAGUGCUACCCAAACAUGUAUAUGAUUCUUCACCUUCUGUCAGUCAUACCUGUUACCAGUGCUUCUGUGGAACAUACUAACUCGGGUCUUAAAGCAGUGAAAACUUUGCUGAGGUCAACAAUGAGACAGGAAAGGUUUGUGGCUUUGCUACUUUUGUAUAUGCACAAGGAUAUUCAGUUAGACAUCAACAAAAUCAUAGACAUAUUUGCCCAGAAGCAUCCCAGAAGGUUGACAUUUGUAAACCCAUUAUCAUCAUCAUAAAGUUUGUAGUAGAGAACAAUUUUCUUUGUGUGGUUUAACUUUGUUUUUUUUUUUUUUUUUUUUCAACAGUUUAUCUUGUUAAAAUAUAUUCAAAACUCCUUUGUCUUACUUGAACCAUACUUGAACCCAAGUCCUUGUUUUUUUUUUUUGUUUCAUGUUAUGUGUAAAUAUCAUUUCUGGAAAUAAAGAAACUCCUUGUUUGAUUAAUUGUUGAUAAGGAUCAUUUUUUUUCUUCAAACUACCUUUUAACCUUCUGCAUGCUUUAAAAACCGAGAGAUCCUUUUUUAAUUACAAUA